AUGAAAACUCAGGUUGAGAUGCUGAAACCGGCGAAUUUGGACGCAGCUAUGGACUUAGCAAUCUCCUUUGAGCACCUCAAUACUGUCACCAGCACCGCGACCACUCCGGGCCGGCCCAACCGUCCACUCCGCCCCAUGGCUGCACCUACUCCGUGUUGGAAAUAUGCCCUAGAGACCACAACAUGUCCCUAG
rnacentral:rRNA from 1 species